rnacentral:rRNA from 1 species
UAGGGAAUCUUCCACAAUGGACGCAAGUCUGAUGGAGCAACGCCGCGUGAGUGAAGAAGGCUUUCGGGUCGUAAAACUCUGUUAUUGAAGAAGAACGUGUGUGACAGUAACUGGUCAUGCAGUGACGGUAUUCAAUCAGAAAGUCACGGCUAACUACGUGCCAGCAGCCGCGGUAAUACGUAGGUGGCAAGCGUUGUCCGGAUUUAUUGGGCGUAAAGCGAGUGCAGGCGGUCUUUUAAGUCUGAUGUGAAAGCCUUCGGCUUAACCGAAGAAGGGCAUCGGAAACUGGGAGACUUAGUGCAGAAGAGGAGAGUGGAACUCCAUGUGUAGCGGUGAAAUGCGUAGAUAUAUGGAAGAACACCAGUGGCGAAGGCGGCUCUCUGGUCUGUAACUGACGCUGAGGCUCGAAAGCGUGGGUAGCAAACAGGAUUAGAUACCCUGGUAGUC